rnacentral:lncRNA from 1 species
CCAAGGCUGCCCUGAACCGUGAGCACGGCUAGUAUACCAGUUUUAAACACUCUGCAGAGGUUGUACAUCUUUACCCAUGAGUCAUGAUUUACCCUUUCGUCCGAGGUAGCUAAUCUCUUAACCCCCUUCCUAGGGAGGUCGGCAGAGAUCACUAUGAAGCCUUUCAAAAGUUCGUCUAAUAAGUUAGGGCCGCAAGGUUUCCCGAGCGAGCGGAUAUAGAGCCCCCC